UACAACAUUGCAGACCUGGGAAAUCAGAGGAGCAGGUUACACCUUGGGAAGUUAGCUGUGAGCCAUCCCUUUGACUUGACUGGUGUUUGAAUAGAGAUGAAAGGCCUAAUGCUAAAGUAACUGAAGUCAGAAAGAUUUCCAUUGACUCCAAUGGGUUUUAGGUUAGAACAUAAGAGAGGAAGAGGUGAAGGGUAUUUAUCACUUAGAUACAAGCCAUGUAUUUUUAUUAGAGCUGGUCAGAAAAUAGGGUGUUCUGCAGAAAAAUUUACAAAAAUAAAAAUAAAAAAUCCCCAGCCACAGCCUCUGCCCUGACAGCAGGGAGGAUGGGGGCCAGCCACAUGACCUUGGUGCUACCCAAGGAUCUCCCUUACCUUUUUUUGGGUGGGUAAAGCAGAUGUAGGGCAGCUUUGCACAAGUGGAGUAUUGCAAAGCUGAGCUAACACAAGGGGUGAUUCUGUUUGGAUGCACAAGUAAAAUAUCAGCCAAAUGGAAAGGUAACUGUAUUGUUUGUGAAGUUUGCUAUGGUGUUCAUCACCAUCCUGAGGAUGCAACAGUUCUGCUGAUAUCAUUGGCUUUUGCUAAUCGCUGCUGUCUAGCAGCAGCAAAACAUCCCAGACUCUGUGAACCACAGGAACAGGGGAUGUCUUGAGAGCCUCUCUGUUAGUUUCCCAUUAGCUGAGUUUGGAUGAUGUGUGGGAGAAGCAUAAGUGAAGGGGAUUUAACACAUGGGAACAUAAUAUCACAGAUGUGAUGGAUCACAGGUGACAAAGUAAUUUCAACAGUUCAGAAGUUUGGAUGAAUGUUUCUCUUCCCUUCUUGAUAGAUUUUUUUCUAGCGGGGAAAGUCUAUAGUUGUAGCAGGGGAGUGCAUCCAUAACAGUACCACAAGAACCGUACGUCUCUGUCAGGGAAUGUCAUUCUGUAUUAUUUAGCCUGCAGCUUUAUAAUUGAUGCACGUGGGAAGGUUACAAGGACAUCAUUAAGCCAGCCAGAUCAGCCAGUAUAGUCCUGGAAGGCAACAAUCCUUGCAACUCGAUCACACACUGAAAUAACGUAUAAAAAUCAUACGAUAAGUUAGGUGCAUUACUGGACUCGGGGUUUUCAAAAGCACUCCAUUUCCUGAUCCAAUAUCCUUCUCCAUGAAGAGUGCCUUGUCAGAAGAACAUCUCCAAAGAAUGGUGUCAGAUGGCUGCAGUAUAAAAACAGGACGAGACAAAUCAUCGUCCACAUUCCAAAAAUGCUGUCUACAUUUGUAUUCCUGACCUUGAUGGAAGAAGCUUCCUGAUAACCUCUUGGACUCCAGCUCCACCUUCUGCCAUUGAAAUGUCUGGUUCCUGGACCAUCUCAGCUCCUGAAUGAACAGAGCUUCAGGACCACUAUAUUAAACUGCUGUUUAGGCUUUAAAACAUUUCCACUGUUGAACCAGCGGAACUCCCAGAUUGCUUUGCCUUUUGGACCACAACCAUGGAUGAAUCACCUGAGCUCUGCCUCCUGUCUCUGGACAAGCUAUGCGUUUGAACCACCUCAAAUCACUAAAGCUACUUAGGUUCCUGAGCCUUUUAGGAGCUCUCAGAAAAACUGUUUGGAGAGAGGUGGAUACAUUUCUAGAGUUCUACUGUCAGCUUUAUUACAAAUACUCUUCAGUAUUAUAGAGCUCCAAGCCUCUGGGCUAUUAUAUAAGCUAGUGCGCUCUGUCUUCCAAUAUCAGUAAACAACCAAUUUAAUCCCAUCAGUAUUUUAUAAUCCCUCACACAUACCGUCCAUUACCUUGCCUUCUAGAAACAUUUAUAAUGAAGGCUGGCUGUGAGGGUAUAUAACUAUGGUCUGUGGCAGCGGUAGUCAGUAGGUGGACUGCAGGCAAAAUCCAGACCGCCAGAUGCUUUGGAAUGGAUCCCAAAAUCUUUUAAUUUAUUAUUUUUUAUUAUUAUUUUCUCUGGGGUCUGGACCUUGACUAUACCUUGACUAAGAAAUCCGUACCUUGACAAAAAAUAAUUGACUACCCCGGUCUGUGGUAAAACAUUUUUCUAUGGCUUGUAAGCUGCAGAAAUUAAGUUUUAUUGCCUGUAUAAAACUACAAUCUCUUGUGUUUUUACCCCCAACCUUGGGAAUAACCUUACUACAGUGGCUGGGCUUUACUGCUGUUUAAUUUCAGAAGCAGCAGGUCCAAAAACUCAUAGAACAUGUUCUAUGGACAACGUGCCUAUGUAGAAUGUACACACCUCUGUGGUGUGCUUUAGCAUAAAACUGAAAAAUGAACAGAAAGGAUGUCCUUUUCCUUGAACAGCCAAGCAGAAAUAUAACAGGGCUUGCCACUGGCCAAAAUUCAGUGUUAUAUGAACUGGCUUGCUUCAGCCAAGUCCAAACAAUCAGUAAUGUGUGGGUCAUUUCAGCCAUGUACCAGAGAAGAGGGAAAAGUCACUUUCACUCCACUCCAGCCCUCCAUCCUCCACAGACCUCUCCCCAGAGAUCUUUCUUCUCUGACUCUGCCUGCCUUUAGGGCCUGAUCCAGCUCCCACUGAAGUUAAUGGGAGUCUUUCCAGUGACUUCAAUAGCAGUUGUGUCAGAGCCAUUGCAUGGUGGGGCACAGUUCUCCAAGAUGGCUCUGCCCUAUAAAUCCCUGCACUCAAGGCAGGCUGCUGUAAUUCUUCCUCUAGCUAGGGCAAGAAGUUAAUGCCUCCUCUGCCAUCCUCUGGACACACUCUAUAUACCUGUAAAACCUGAAAAAGUUAGAAGAGUGGUUGAAGUCACUCUACUGUAUCAACUACAAAAUGGGCAUUUCCAACAUAAAAUUAUUAAUUUAAUCCAGAGAUACAUUCCAGUGAAUGUUUUCCAUGGGAAAAAAAUGUCAGUUCUGAUUAGCACCAAAUGGAGAAGUUGAAAUAUACCACAGCAGAAUGAGAUACAGAGAGAAAGGGAUUUUUCACUACAUCAUAAUUUUUAAUUUCAGCCAUAUCGAGCCUAGAAGGGGAACAAAAAUUAUACUGUUAUUUAAGUUAUGAAAGAUCCCAUAUGUCACCUUAAUGACAGCCCUGUAUGCUGAUUGAAUAAUUACGUACUUAAUCAUCCAGUCCCUGCCUGGCUUGACAAGAGGAACUGGAUUGUACAAUAAAUUCAGAUGGCUAUUUCAGAAUGGGAUAGAGAAAAGAGCUGGGCACCAAGAGAAAGAGAAGUGCUCAUGUCCUCUCAACUCACUUCCUUUUGUUAUCAAAGCCUUCCCCACACUAUUUGUCUGUUUUGACUCUUUGCUGUGUCCUAUCUGUCAUGUAGAUUGUGAUUAGAGUUACACAGAGAAAAUUCAGUUUCAUGGAAGAUUGAUGUUUCAAAAUUUAGUUUCAUUCCGAUUUGCAACAAAAACCAAAAAUUUCAAAAUUCUCCAUAAAAGAGGAUGGAGCUCUGACUCUGGGGCAGCCCCUGAGCUGCCCUAAAGCUGCAGACCAUGGAAGCCUUGGGGUCCCCGGGACUUCCGGACAGUCACACUGGCUGGCUGCCCCCGAGCCACAGAUUUGGAGGCAGUCAGCCUGCUAGCUGCCUGUGAUGAGGCAUCCACCCCACACGAGGCAGAGCAGGUUAAGUGAGAUCAAUUACUGGGGAAGAGACUGGGAUGGAAAGGCUGACUGAAGAUAGAACCCAGCUGAUAAGGAACAGGUGGGACUGGUAUAAAGCCAGGAAGGUGGCAGCAGAAAGGGGCUACAGAGUUAGGUAGUCUGCAGGCACUCCCUGGGAGGAUGGAAUUUGGGCUGAUAAACCCAGAGAGGAGGGAAGUCAGGAGAUAAGAGCAGAGAAGCAGGAAGAAGUCUAGGGAAACAGCAACAGAGUCUGGGAGCAAUCAGACCAUUGAUGGACACAAGGAACCCUUAUGAACCCGGAGAAGUGGAUGGGCCCAGCUUCCCAUAUCAGCCACUGGGGAAGUGGCACACACUGGGAAGAAGAGAAGACUGCCUGAAACAGCUGAUCCAGUGGGACUCUGGUACCCUGGAAGGGGAGGACUGUACAGUGACCUGGCCAGAGCGCUACGUCACAAAGAGAGAACACCUUGAGUCAGAGAGAGAGAGAGAGAGAGGCGGCAGGGAGUGCGGAUGAGCGGAAGAAGGGGGUGUCAGACCUGGAAAGAGCUAAUUCCUAGAGCGGCCAAAGGGAGAUGCCCCAACAGUGAGUGAACCUUGUGACACUGCCCCAGAGCUGUGAACGCUGGAAGACCUGAGGUACCCAACUCUGAGGCAGUGCACCUGGCUGGCUGCCUCAGGACCCUGGAAGCCUGGGGUGCCAAGGAACUGUGAGGCUGGCAGCUUGACCUUCCCAUGGUUUACAGGCUCCUGCCUCUCCCUCACCCCACCAGGUGAGCUGCUAAGGAGUUAGGCAGGUGAGCUGGCAGGAAACCAGAUAGGUUCCAUCAUUACCCUGCCUGCUUUCCAUCAGAUUUUCAUCAAAAUCAAAAAAACUUCUUGAUUUAGACAAAUUGGCAUGCUCAACAGAAAAAUGUUCCAUUGGAGGAAUUCUAACCCUCUCUAAUUAUGAGCUCUCCAGGCUAAGAACAGUCAUCCUUAUUCUUCAUCUGCACAUAGUGCCUAACUAACUGGGGCCCUGAUCCUGGACUGGGGCUCCUAAUACACAUAAUAAGACAUGUUGCCUGUUUGCCAGUUCAUGUCUUACUUCAAAGCAAAAAAUGCAUGAGGCUAAAUUGAACCUUCCUAAAUGUCAGCUUUCCCCUUGUUUAAAGUUCACAGACUAAGGACUGGAUCCAGCAAUAUGAUUAGGACCUAUCAAGAGGUGCUGAGUGCCCUCAACUUUCACUGACUUCAGUAGUAACGUGCAAAACUACACUGCAGGGACCAAGAUGGGGUGGAGCUGGAGGCUUCACAGAACUUUUUUCCUCAUUUCCAAUUUCUGUGAUUCUAUUAAAAUCCACAGUGCAACAGCUUUGCAAGGCUUCACGAGCCCCGUCACAGGGAUUAGACUUUACGCUGGCAGCUGUUAAAAAUAACUAGGAGUAAGAUCCUGUUCCCAUUUCUAUAAAAGUUCUCUGACUGAUGAUAAAAAGGGGUAAAUAAUUUAACAAAAUAAUCUGAUAGUACUAAAUGUGGUACAGAGUCAUUUAUAUUUAAAGAGAUCGCUUAGAGAGAAUUCAUGAGAGAGACAGGACUCUUACUUAUUAAAAAAAAAACAUUUUCAAAAUCAUUAGCACACUGCAUACAUAAGCCCCAUGUCACCCCUUGCUCAUGCUGAGUAGUUCCUUAUUUGCAGAAUAGUCCCAUUGAUUUCAAUGGGGCUACUCACAGAAUUUUUACUCAUUGUGAGCAAGGGGGGUGGAAUCUGGACCUACGUAACUAGGGCCCAAACUGCAUUUAGUUACACAGGUGCAAGUCUGGCUGGAGGCAGGAGAGAAGUCAGGGGUCAUUGCCGUUAGCUAGUGGUCUGAACACAGGCACGAGUCAUGAUGCCUGAGGUCUAUCCCUGAUGCUCCCUGACACUCUAACACUGACUCCCUCUGUGGCCCUUGGCAAGUCACUAUUGACCAAAUUUUCAAACACGCCCACUAAUAAUGCUUUUGGGUACUGACAUUGGGGCCCCGACAGCCUGAUUUUCAGAGGUUCUGACCACUUGGAGCGCCCACUGACUUUCAGUGGAGUCCUGGAUGCUCAGCCCAUCUAAAAACAAGGGCCUAUCUGUCUUGAGUUGGAAAGCCAAACAUUGGGGCACACACAAUUACGGGGCACUUUUGAAAAUGUUGGCCUUAACCUCCCUGCCUCAGUUUCCCCACCUUAACUACAAUGCAGAAAUGUUCUGAGGAUUAAUUAAAAAUGUUUGGAAACAUUUAAAAAAUGUA